UGGAUGGCGAGUUUGAUCCUGGCUCAGGAUAAACGCUGGCGGCGUGCCUAACACAUGCAAGUCGAACGCGCUCCCCUCCUUCGGGAAGGGAGCGAGUGGCGGACGGGUGAGUAAGACGUGGGUCACCUACCUU
rnacentral:rRNA from 1 species